rnacentral:rRNA from 1 species
GCUCCAGACUCCUACGGGAGGCAGCAGUGAGGAAUAUUGGUCAAUGGACGAGAGUCUGAACCAGCCAAGUAGCGUGAAGGAUGACUGCCCUAUGGGUUGUAAACUUCUUUUAUAUGGGAAUAAAAUGUUCCACGUGUGGGAUUUUGUAUGUACCAUAUGAAUAAGGAUCGGCUAACUCCGUGCCAGCAGCCGCGGUAAUACGGAGGAUCCGAGCGUUAUCCGGAUUUAUUGGGUUUAAAGGGUGCGCAGGCGGUCUGUUAAGUCAGCGGUCAAAGCCCGGGGCUCAACCCCGGUCCGCCGUUGAAACUGGCAGUCUCGAGUUGGAGAGAAGUAUGCGGAAUGCGCGGUGUAGCGGUGAAAUGCAUAGAUAUCGCGCAGAACUCCGAUUGCGAAGGCAGCAUGCCGGCUCCACACUGACGCUGAGGCACGAAAGCGUGGGUAUCGAACAGGAUUAGAUACCCCGGUAGAC